rnacentral:ncRNA from 1 species
CCCGCGGCUGGCGAUGAGGCUCGCCACUUUCGCGCUUAUGGCGCUGAUGGCUUCUACCCCGCA